AGUGAACGCUGGCGGUAGGCCUAACACAUGCAAGUCGAACGGCAGCACAGUAAGAGCUUGCUCUUACGGGUGGCGAGUGGCGGACGGGUGAGGAAUACAUCGGAAUCUACUUUUUCGUGGGGGAUAACGUAGGGAAACUUACGCUAAUACCGCAUACGACCUACGGGUGAAAGCAGGGGAUCUUCGGACCUUGCGCGAUUGAAUGAGCCGAUGUCGGAUUAGCUAGUUGGCGGGGUAAAGGCCCACCAAGGCGACGAUCCGUAGCUGGUCUGAGAGGAUGAUCAGCGACACUGGAACUGAGACAGGGUCCAGACUCCUACGGGAGGGCGCAGUGGGGAAUAUUGGACAAUGGGCGCAAGCCUGAUCCAGCCAUACCGCGUGGGUGAAGAAGGCCUUCGGGUUGUAAAGCCCUUUUGUUGGGAAAGAAAAGCAGCAGGUUAAUACCCCGCUGUUCCGACGGUACCCAAAGAAUAAGCACCGGCUAACUUCGUG
rnacentral:rRNA from 1 species